rnacentral:lncRNA from 1 species
AUGGGCUUCUGGCAAUAUUAUGUCUGUUUCAGGUUUUUAGGUGCACUGCACAGUUUGGAAACUGAGUUAUACGGUGGCCUAAGCCAUAGACAAGCACUGCCGAGGAAGAGGUAAAGUGAAGACUUCUAAUGAGUGAAGGCAUUGUGAGGAGUCAAAGUCAUGGAGACUGAUUCCUGAGCCUGCGUUUAAUCUCUCUGCAAAAUGGUCCCUGGUAACAUACAGUUGGAAGAAGACAUACAUGGAUAGCUAAUUAAGAGCUUUGCU